UACGAAGGGGGCUAGCGUUGUUCGGAAUCACUGGGCGUAAAGCGCACGUAGGCGGACUUUCAAGUCAGGGGUGAAAUCCCGGGGCUCAACCUCGGAACUGCCUUUGAUACUGUUGGUCUUGAGUCCGGAAGAGGUGGGUGGAAUUCCUAGUGUAGAGGUGAAAUUCGUAGAUAUUAGGAAGAACACCGGUGGCGAAGGCGGCCCACUGGUCCGGUACUGACGCUGAGGUGCGAAAGCGUGGGGAGCAAACAGG
rnacentral:rRNA from 3 species